rnacentral:rRNA from 1 species
AGUACGGUCGCAAGAUUAAAACUCAAAGGAAUUGACGGGGACCCGCACAAGCGGUGGAUGAUGUGGAUUAAUUCGAUGCAACGCGAAAAACCUUACCUACCCUUGACAUGUCACUAACGAAGUAGAGAUACAUUAGGUGCUCGUAAGAGAAAGUGAACACAGGUGCUGCAUGGCUGUCGUCAGCUCGUGUCGUGAGAUGUUGGGUUAAGUCCCGCAACGAGCGCAACCCUUGUCUUUAGUUGCUACGCAAGAGCACUCUAAAGAGACUGCCGGUGACAAACCGGAGGAAGGUGGGGAUGACGUCAAGUCCUCAUGGCCCUUAUGGGUAGGGCUUCACACGUCAUACAAUGGUGCAUACAGAGGGUUGCCAACCCGCGAGGGGGAGCUAAUCUCAGAAAAUGCAUCGUAGUCCGGAUCGUAGUCUGCAACUCGACUACGUGAAGCUGGAAUCGCUAGUAAUCGCGGAUCAGAAUGUCGCGGUGAAUACGUUCCCGGGUCUUGUACACACCGCCCGUCAUACCAUGGGAGUGGGUUUUGCCAGAAGCCGUUAGCCUAACCGCAAGGAGGGCGACUGCCACGGCAGGGUUCAUGACUGGGGUA